AUACGGAGGGUGCAAGCGUUACUCGGAAUCACUGGGCGUAAAGCGCGCGCAGGCGGCUUGAUAAGUUGGAUGUGAAAGCCUACGGCUCAACCGUAGAACUGCAUCCAAAACUGUCAAGCUAGAGUCUGGGAGGGGAAGAUGGAAUUAGUUGUGUAGGGGUAAAAUCCGUAGAGAUAACUAGGAAUACCAAAAGCGAAGGCGAUCUUCUGGAACAGUACUGACGCUGAGGCGUGAAAGCGUGGGGAGCAAACAGGAUUAGAAACCCUAGUAGUCC
rnacentral:rRNA from 1 species